rnacentral:tRNA from 1 species
GCCGAAGUGGUGAAAUUGGUAUACACGCAUGGUUCAGAGCCAUGUAGUCGCAAGGCUGUGGAGGUUCAAAUCCUCUCUUCGGCACCA